rnacentral:rRNA from 1 species
CCUACGGGGGGCUGCAGUCGAGGAUCUUCGGCAAUGGGCGCAAGCCUGACCGAGCGACGCCGCGUGUGCGAUGAAGGCCUUCGGGUUGUAAAGCACUGUCGAGGGGGAGGAAAGCCCGCAAGGGCCUGACCUAUCCCUGGAGGAAGCACGGGCUAAGUUCGUGCCAGCAGCCGCGGUAAGACGAACCGUGCGAACGUUAUUCGGAUUCACUGGGCUUAAAGGGCGCGUAGGCGGCUACCCAAGUCGGGGGUGAAAUCUUUCGGCCCAACCGGAAAACAGCCUCCGAUACUGUGUAGCUCGAGGGAGACAGGGGCACGCGGAACUUCCGGUGGAGCGGUGAAAUGCGUAGAUAUCGGAAGGAACGCCGGUGGCGAAAGCGGCGUGCUGGAUCUCUUCUGACGCUGAGGCGCGAAAGCCAGGGGAGCGAACGGGAUUAGAUA